UAGAAUAGUAUUUAAAAUAUAUAAAAUCUAACCUGCAUUUAGAAAUCGCCACGGCCUAUUCUAA
rnacentral:tRNA from 1 species